CCAAAUUCCAUGCUAUAAUUUUCAUGUUAAGAAGCAUAAUAAAACGGAAAAAGGUGAAAAUCCUUUACAGCCCCUUCGCUACUGUAAGAUUGACGAAGCUGUCACAACUCACUGGGACACCCUGGAAAGAGGACAGUUGUAGGACGAGAUCAAGUCAGGAUACGUUUGUUAUGCCGAUUGCAAAG
rnacentral:ncRNA from 2 species